ACCAAAACAGGACCAGAGAAGCUCAGACCGUCCCUAACAUCCCUGCUGCGAGACCCGCAGGCUGUGGAAUCUCGCACGUCACCUGGCCCCAGCAGGGCGGCCAGCUGAGGGGUUGAUUUUAUUUUAUUUUUUUGAAGUAAAGGCUGAAUCUCGGCUUCAGGGCUUUUGCCAACGUCUCCACUGACAGGAACCAGCAAACUUCAGGACCCAAAUGAGCAUCUUAAUUUAUUGAUGCUAAACAGAAAGCUUCACAUGUGAGAUAAAUGCACUCAAAGAUUCCUCACAAGUAGCUCUUUGGAGCUUCAGAUGUGAAAUGGAUCAUUCCUCAAUCUGUAAUAGACCCUUCUGUGAAGCUCUUCAAUCAAACCAGAGAAUUCAAGAGUUUCCAACACCUAAGAGUGGUAUUUGGCAAAUGGUGGGCCAAAGGAAUAAAGAAGGCAUGCAAAACUCUUGACAGAAGACAUUCAGAAAUUGAUUUGAUAUCAGAUACAAGGAGAAAAUAUGCCAGUAAGAAAAUGCAUUUUUCAAGAUUAAAUUCGGCAUUUGUUACUUAAUAGCAUUUGUCAUAUUCCAAUUUUUCAUAUGUAGUAAAUUCAUUUCAAAUCA
ensembl:lncRNA LINC01412 long intergenic non-protein coding RNA 1412